rnacentral:rRNA from 1 species
ACGGGUGAGUAAUGUCUGGGGAUCUGCCCGAUAGAGGGGGAUAACCACUGGAAACGGUGGCUAAUACCGCAUAACGUCGCAAGACCAAAGAGGGGGACCUUCGGGCCUCUCACUAUCGGAUGAACCCAGAUGGGAUUAGCUAGUAGGCGGGGUAAUGGCCCACCUAGGCGACGAUCCCUAGCUGGUCUGAGAGGAUGACCAGCCACACUGGAACUGAGACACGGUCCAGACUCCUACGGGAGGCAGCAGUGGGGAAUAUUGCACAAUGGGCGCAAGCCUGAUGCAGCCAUGCCGCGUGUAUGAAGAAGGCCUUCGGGUUGUAAAGUACUUUCAGCGGGGAGGAAGGCGAUGUGGUUAAUAACCGCGUCGAUUGACGUUACCCGCAGAAGAAGCACCGGCUAACUCCGUGCCAGCAGCCGCGGUAAUACGGAGGGUGCAAGCGUUAAUCGGAAUUACUGGGCGUAAAGCGCACGCAGGCGGUCUGUUAAGUCAGAUGUGAAAUCCCCGGGCUUAACCUGGGAACUGCAUUUGAAACUGGCAGGCUUGAGUCUCGUAGAGGGGGGUAGAAUUCCAGGUGUAGC